CACGUCAGCGCGCUUUGUUGAUGUGGACACAAAUCGCGCUUUCGUGGAUGCGAUUUGUUGCCACGUCAGUAAAGCACGCUGACGUGG
rfam:Gossypium raimondii Chr13_contig_192, whole genome shotgun sequence.